rnacentral:lncRNA from 7 species
GGUAGCUGGAGUUUUUUUUUUUUUUUUUUUUUUUGCGAUGGACUUAGCACCGAGAUUGGUAAAUGACUAAAUAUAGGGAUGAAGUUGGGUUUUGUUAGGAGUUUAUAAAUUUAGAGACAUGCUUCACAUAACUGUUGUAAGACGAUUUUUUUCUUAAAAACUGCUUAAAUUUAUAUUUGAAGAGUUGUUAUAUAACCACUAGGAGAUGGGAGCCAAACGGACCUGACUACCGCAUAUACUCACCAACACCGAUCGUAUUUUCGUGGCUGCUUUCUAUCUACUACUAUAGCGAAAUAAAAAUGGCAGAUGAGGCCAUGACCGAGAGCUUUCUCAAAAAGGACAGAUGUCUGAGAGGUGUUUGGUACUAGUAGUAUUUUAUUUUUGGAAUAACGUGGUUACUUUCAAGGUUUGGAAUAAUAAUAGUAAUUGGCUUAGGACAAAGCUACUGUGACAUGAAAAAAACAGGAGUAUUAAUAAAAUAUGAGUGGUAAGAUAAUAGUAGAUUAUAAUGACAGCGUAUAUGAGCCCUAGGAUGGAAACCUAAUGUCCAAGCCGUUUAUUUUUCUACCUCUCGGCAAUUCCUCGCUCAUGCUGCCUAUGCGAGGAGUGUUCACGCUAGUAUUUAAAGGUUUAACAGUUGGUAAUUGGUAAGCAUUGGUAUUGUUUUUCUCCGAGUGGAGACUGAAGGCGAUACCAAUAAAAGUCUAACGCAUUAAUAGAGAGAAAAUGAUUUGGUUCCUUUUUUGGUUGGAAAAUAAACAUCGACCAUAAAUGUUGACAGCUACUCCAUCCAACAUGACUCGAGAGUGACCUCAACUCUCAACGUGACUAUAUAUCCUCCGACGUGGGAUGUAAACGAUCAGAUACACAAAUUAAGACAUAUAUAGAGA